AUAGUUCAUCUUUUUUUAAGAUCUCUUUGAAGACGAACAACAGGGCAUUAGCUGGUGCUCUGCAGGCCCAGAGAGAGAAGAGCAACAACCUGCAGAUGGAAAUUAUUGGCCUCCUGAAACAAGUGGAUGCUCUGUUAUUUGAAAGGGCUUCCAUGAGAUACAAGCAUAAGCAGUUGGUUCUUAUGGUAAAGGAACUCCGUAGCACCACCAUGCAUCAGUUAUGCAGUAUGGCUGACAUCCUAUCCUCAGAAGACGUGAAUAUACCUUAUAAUAUAGUUUAAUAUUAAUUGUGUUUAACAUGCUGUACUAUUUGUGUCAGAAUAGGAUGUUUCGGUGUUCAACUAUGGUUUAUUUAUUUUUAUUAGGAUGACUGUAACAACCAACAAGACGAUGCAGAUGGUGGUGAUGUUGAGAAUAAAAGUCUAUUACCCUGCCAACCGCAACCCUUAACUGAGGCACAUCACUCACCAAUCAAAACACUGGUAGAUUUGACUAAUACUAUCGGUGGUGUACAAGGCCAGCCAUCAAACGAUAUGAGUGAGUAAAUAAUGCACAUUUAACAAUAACCUAUUUUAAAUAAAAGAAUACAAUAAUAAUACACAUCAUUUCCUGAUAACCCACACCCAUCGUUAUUCAUCGUUGUGUAUUUUCCAAAUGUAUCUACUGCACAGAAAUCGAUAAAGAGGGGGAAAAUACUUCUGAUGAAGCUGUGCAGUUGGCCCGAUGGAGAACAACCAGUCAAACCAGUAGCUUGAGGGAGGAUGUGGAACAGUAUUCCAGGACUCAGCCCGGACGGGACAGUCACUCUAUGCUGCCUUCAUGCCCUCAAAACAGUCACACCCCUGCAGCUGUUGUUGCAUCUGAAAACAAACGAUUGAGCGUUUCUGUCGAUCUUCAGAAAAGCUCAGCCCAGGAGUUGACCACCGCCUCCAACAACAACAACACCACCACCACCUCCAACAACGAUAACGACCACAGAGGUGGACAGGAGGUGACUUUGCUCCUGAACACCACCAUGGAGAUGACCGUGAGGGAUGCCACUGAAAUAAUCAUCGUCGACACCAAGAAGAAAUCCCGAAACACAAACGAGCCUAAGAUUAAAGACCAAGCCGCACCAGUGGUAAAGGCAAAGAAGGAAAAGAAAAGAAACAAGAAACCAGGGAGGCCAGAAGACAGAGACUCUACAGAGUGCGGGUUAGUAGAAACCCAACAUGUGCACACUGCUGCUCUGCCACUAUCAGAGGAUCGUACAGAAGAGGCCUCUGGUACACAUAAGGUUGUGUCUCGCAUCCCCAGAUUUGGCAAGGCUAAAGCUUGUGACGGACCGAACACGAUACAGAAGAAACCUCAGAGUUACCCGAGUAUUGCCUUACCUGAGUAUAGCGGCUGUGACGUCGUAGAGCCUGACAGACACGUCCCCACAGUCAGGGAAGAUGCAAGAUGGUCACCCAAUCAUGUUUUUUCAGAGGACGGAAACGCUAAAAAGAAAUUAAGAAGGACUAAUGUCGCUUCAAAUCCACCAAGAGUAAUCAAAAGGAAAACCCCUAUCCCAUUAAUGAACCUCUCUAAUGCUGAAACACAAAGAACAUCUAAUGGCAAAACUACAGAGGAAGUAGACACCGCCUAUAGUGAUGCAUUCAGCGGCCAACUGCUGGAGAGUCAACAACUUCCUGUGGCCUCUAAUGACAACACACCUUUUGAGCUUGGGGGCGGGGACUUGGGUUUUCCAGAGGCUGGUUACCCUGAGAGCAAGGAUCUUAACUUUAACAGAGAACUCAGGAAGACUUUUGUGGUGACGAGGGAUGGGUCCCCGUGGGAAAACUUCUCACCAGAUAUCAGUACUGGAGCCAGCAUCCUGACGCCAUCUUCAGCAUCUCCGCGUGGGUCAGAAGGACAACAAGAUGCCUCAGUUGCAAGUUCACCGAGGCAGGUUUCGGAAGCCACUCUGCACAGGUUCUCCGGUCCUAAUUACUGUGACAAGGUAGAUGUUUCGGAUCAGACCCAUUUGCCACGCAAGCGUCCCUACGAGGAAGUUCAGGGGCACGAGGCCACCUGUUCCAAUGGGAUAAGAGCAGCAUGGAGUGAGCAAUCAGCAUGUCCUUUCAACGUCAGAAAGAAGAAAGUAGAGAAGAGUAGGCACCAACAGAGCUACAGCCCUCAAGGGUACGGGCCUCAAGAUCAGGAACUGCCACCUCACCAGGACGACACGCAAACAGGAAAGGUUGUUCUGGACGGUACACACAAAAAGUCAAUUUUGUCUCUCAGAACCAGCAGAGUAGCUGCUGGUACGUACAACGAGGAGUCGCCUCAACACAUCGCUGAGACGGUCGAUGUCUCUCCGGAUACUUGGGUUCCUAAAAGGCUCCCACCACCGUCCCGUUCCAAAAAGAGCAACAGUAAGAAGAUCUUUUCCACUUCCUCCGGCACAACAAGGAAAAACUUUGUGGCCUUCGACAACAAAAGGAUGUCAGAUGUCCUCGCGAGCGACGGGGGGAUGGACCAGUGUCUUACGAGCCUGCUGCUGGAUGAGAGGCCGCCAUGGGAGACCCCAGAUGUCAGCCUCAGGGCUCUGGAUAUGGAGGACCACUAUGUCCCUACUCCCAAGAAAGCCGUCUUGGCCACGGUGACGGGGUUGAAGGAGCCGCCGCCAAAUACAGUCAACACUUUCACAGACAGUGGAGAAGUCGGUGGCCGAACCAGAAGAACAAAGGCAUCUGUGAACUACAAGGAGCCCAGCAUAACAUGCAAAUUGAGGCGCGGAGACCGUCACACGGACACCGGUCUCCUGAUUGCUCCUAUUUAUAAGGAAAAAAAGAAGAAGAAACGGACCAAGAUGGCGAACAAGCAAAGACCAGAAAGCAGUCUUAGUUUAGGUUUUUUAGUAGAUGAAAGUGAAAACCCUGUUUGA
rnacentral:lncRNA from 1 species